UACGUAGGGCGCAAGCGUUAUCCGGAAUUAUUGGGCGUAAAGAGCUCGUAGGCGGUUUGUCGCGUCUGCCGUGAAAGUCCGGGGCUCAACUCCGGAUCUGCGGUGGGUACGGGCAGACUAGAGUGAUGUAGGGGAGACUGGAAUUCCUGGUGUAGCGGUGAAAUGCGCAGAUAUCAGGAGGAACACCGAUGGCGAAGGCAGGUCUCUGGGCAAUUAACUGACGCUGAGGAGCGAAAGCAU
rnacentral:rRNA from 1 species